CUCUGAUCUCUAGUGAAUUAUCUAAGUAAUCUCUCUCGGCCUUCUAUCAAACUGCGCAGUACCUGCAUCUCUCUUUCCGCCAUUGCGUAGGAAUUACGCAUAUCUCAUUCAUACAAAAGACCAUAAGGAAGGUCUAACCGUUUAAGGUUUGAGUUCGUUUGCAAAUCAUGGUUAACUCUCAUUCUGUUAGACUACGUCUACAGAAUUGAUUUGACAAACACCGUACGUUUUCUUAAUUCUUACAGGUUUGAGUUCGUUUGCAAAUCAUGGUUAACUCUCAUUCUGUUAGACUACGUCUACAGAAUUGAUUUGACAAACACCAUACGUUAUCUACGAUUCUCUUAAUAAUAAAUCGAAGCUUUUAGCUUACUUUCUUUUCA